GGCAGAGGAAAAUCUGCAUGCAUCACGGUGUGAAAGCAGAGAAUGAUGAAGGGUGCUGGGAAGGGAGGCAUCUGCUUUCAGGUCAUGACACCAGGAGCCUGCAUCUUUCCACCAGGCCCCAACUCCUACUGUCACAUUUAGUGAUAGUGCCCCUGUGAUGCAAAAGCCCCCUUAUGAGCACAUGAAGCUUUAGGGGAAGAUUCGGAUAUAAACCAUAAUGCUUGGAACCGGCUGCAACGGAAAAAGAAGAGAGUGAGGAAGCUUCCUGAUUGACACUUUGCACAGGUGUCUGCCAUUGUGCGGGAAAAUUCCUGGUGGAGCAUGGAUGUCACCUUGUACCAUCCAGUCAGAACUAACAUCUGAAGUCACCUGAAGUUCAGCAGAUUCGGAGAAGGCUGAUUUCAUGAGAAGAGGAGGGUGAGACUAAAGAAGCUGGGGUGAUCAUCCAAGGUCAAAUAUGCAGGGCUGGGAUGAGGAUAAUUAUUUAAGCCAUUGUGGUUCUCCGGAAAGGAAAUGAAUCAGAAUCCACUUUUUGACUCUACUGGUGUUGAACCAUGCGAGCUUUUGGCUGCAAUGCCUUCUGUGUGCACACAUUUGAGAGUCACAGUGAAGAGGUGCACCUAUGGAAUCACUGGUGGUUGAGAAAAGAGGACUCACUCAUUCACAAGCUUCAAGUUGAACGUAUCCUAAGAAAAAAUGCAUUCAGGACACUUAAUCUACAGCACACACUUGGUCUAGUUCACUUUAGGUGUGUGUUAGUCUAGAGCUGAGCAAAGCCAUCUCACACGAAGUCUGACUUGUAAAUAAACUGUGGAAUAUCA